UAUAUCAGUCAUGCAUAGCAUAUCAAUAAGCGGAGGAAAAGAAACUAACUAGGAUUCCCCUAGUAACUGCGAGUGAAGCGGGAAGAGCUCAAAUUUGAAAUCUUAAAAGGUUUUCCUUUUACGAAUUGUAGUUUAAAGAAGUGUUUUCUGUUGAAAUUUUAGUAAAAGUUCUUUGGAAUAGGACAUCAUAGAGGGUGAGAAUCCCGUAUUUGACUAGAAUUUCUCAACUUUGUGAUACACUUUCAAAGAGUCGGAUUGUUUGGGAAUGCAGUCCAAAAUGGGUGGUAAAUUUCAUCUAAAGCUAAAUAUUGGCGAGAGACCGAUAGCGAACAAGUACCGUGAGGGAAAGAUGAAAAGAACUUUGAAAAGAGAGUUAAAUAGUACGUGAAAUUGUCAAAAGGGAAGCGUUUGGCACCAGUGUUGUUUUUCUAAAAAUCAAUUUAAAAUUUGCUUAUGCUAAGUUUUUUAGACUUUAAUCAGGCUAUACUUUUAGUUUUUGUAGCUUUCUUGAAUGCACUUUUUCAGUUAACAAGUCAACAUCAAUUUCUUUUGCUGUAAAAGAAUACUUGAGGAAGGUGGCUUGAGAUUCGUCUUAAGUGUUUAUAGCCUCUUUCCUAUGCAAUCGGAGAGAUUGAGGUCUGCAGCAUAGAUCCUUCGGGGCUAGAUGCAUUUGUGCUAAGUUAGUAGCAUUUAUAUAAACAACUUGUUGACUAUGAUUAUGUCUUGUAUCUUACUCGCUGAGUGUUAUUUUACCUACGCUUAGGAUGUUGAUCUACAGAGCGAGAGU
rnacentral:rRNA from 1 species